GAAUCCGUUUAGAAAUCAUCCUACGAUUUUAUAAAUUAAAUAUUUCACAUUAUUACCGUCAUAAUGGCAUCGGUCAGGCCUAGAGAGGUCUCAGGCUACCUCUAUGCCUGGACUUUCACGUUCCAAGAUCUCCAGGAAGCCAUCGUAAGAAGCUCUCAAACUCCUCGAGCUCCUCUCGACAACUCGGCUCCACCCUCGAGGUAACCAAGCCCCUGAGCCCCUUCCACGAGAAUAAUCCAAGAAAACCUGUCACCUGUUACCCUAUUUUCGCGGAGAAACGGUUCGUUGGUUCGGACUGGGACAGUAGUCGGCAACCAAUCGCUAAAGACAAUUUUCGCGGGGCGAUUUCGCGCAACACAAACGGCCUCUUCUAGGUAUCUUCGGAUUGUUGUUCAGUGUUUCUGGACGUAUACGCCAGCGACGAGGACCUUGCGGAAGAACGAGGAGAAGAGCAACGUGUGCUGGAGCAACGAGUGCUGGGAGCUGGCACGUAGUCAGAAUACUGCGAGGACAAUCGAUCGGUAGUAACGUUUCGAAUGGUCUCCUCGAGCAUCGGUGCGGUGGAACUUCCGUUUUCUCGGCUGGUAUCGAUUGUACCUCCGCGCGUGUAAACGAUCGUACAAAUCGGUGGACACCGAACACUCCGAUCAGGAGUUCGUGUAAAUAGUAUCGAAGUUUCGUAGAUUGGCUCGCUUGGACUCGUGGCGAACAGGAGCGCUCGACAGGGUCUUCCUCGUCGUCACUGGAGUCACGGACGCGACGAUUUCUCGCGUGGCAAUCGUUGAACGACGGUCAGGUGCUGAGACACGAUUAUGGUUGGUUGGAGACGCGUUGGUCCCGACGCGUCUACGAGGGCCCCACAGAUGCAACGACUUUACGUGUAAUUAUUUAUAAAGGUGGUUAAGCGGAUUAUCGUUCGCAGGUAGGUGUCUUGACCUCUUCUAAAACGGCGAGAAACUGUUUAGGUAUAACUAUAGCUGCGCCAGGUCGUGUCGACUCGUUUAACAGGGAAUCGUCGCGUCUGCGACUCCUAGAUGACCUCUACAGUCCUUACCCUCUGCGCGAAUGAGGGCUAGGAUCCACGAUGGAAGACGCGUCCAGCGAGCCUCUGACUAACGGUCUAAUUCUUACGCAAUGGAAGGCUGAAACGCGCGCUGUGAUCAUCGAACACCGAAAACUCAAAGGGUACUACGAAUUAUAAUCGCGGUCGUUAAUCGCUGUAUCGUCACGUGUAUCUUAAUGUUGUUCGUUUCGUUAGGCCACUAAGCUCGGUUCUUCGAUCCACCGGGAUAGAGAAGCGAGACGACGUUCUCGGGUGUUAAUUGUCGACAGUAUUUCGUACGUGUACGAUGUCCAAUAGUAAAAACAGAGCUGUACAUAAACGGGGAGGGAAUUCAGGGAUUCUUCGAGCGACAGGCGAUCGAAUCCACGACGGGAACGACACACGAAGAAAAACGAACGCCUGGACGCUCAGGGUCGCUAUCCCUUCGUCCCCGACCCCCCACAGAUACGUGUAAUUACAUUUCUCUUUGGACCAAUACUCUUCGUCUACUAAACGGUAAUAAUCAAUUGUCGAGGCUCGUAAAGUACCUAACAAACCUCUUGUUAGUAUAAGAAUCGUCGACCGUGUGGUUCCUAAGUUGUCUCGUAGCGGGUCGAGCGAGGCUCGAGUCAAGUCAGCGUGGAACUUAUGUGAUACCGUAGGGCCGAUUAAUUAAGGUUAAUUUACACGUUACGAGCAUGUGGGGAAGGGGAUAGGGGGGCGGAAAACUGUUACCGCGACGAUGGAACGAGACGUUGUUGACGACGUUUGCGACGUUCGAGGACGCGUCGCGCGUCUCUUAGGCGACUUGCUCGCGGAAUUCUUGGUCUUUAAGGGUGCUUGUCUUCUUGACGCGUUGAUCGCCCCAGGGAUUCUUUUCGGAGAACGUACACGUUGAGUUUUAAAAGCUUCUUAACUUGAAAGAAUAGUUUUAUCGAGUUGUAGUAACGCUUGAAGGGAUUCAACAGAAGUGAUAGAUUGCUAAUAUUAGAUUGGCCAGAAAGUUUGUUCGAUGAUGUUUGUUUCUCUGGAGUUCGAAUGGUUACUUGACGGGUUUGUCCAAUUGAUGAGGGAGAGAUCAUAAAUAUUCGUACCCCCUAUAUCUAUUAAAGAAGUACCUCUAAAUUAAACAAUGGGUUCGAUGGUUUCAAAUAAAUGUUUCAUUAUAAAUAUGUACAAAUAUUUAUGGGACUGACUAUAUUUCUUCGUCUAAGAGAAAUCGCUGUUUAUUUGUGCGUUAAAAUCCGAACGACCUUUUCGACCAACAUAAUAUUUGAGAUUUUUACGAGUAUAUCGUACUGGAGGAUGAAUAAGAUGUUCCUUGUAUACAAUUAUCUGUUCAGUAUUACUAGGCUACAUUUUUUAACGGACCUUGUGCAAUUUUCUAUCCCCGCGAAGCAUCCUCAGGGGUCUCCUCGACUCUCGACGUACUUUCUAAACAAACUUAACGUAUUCAGACACACGUGUUGAUCCAUCUCCGAUUAAACAUACCGCGCGAUCGACGCAUUAAAUAUUUAUCAACAGAGAUUUCGAUUCCGCGGGUGAAUCCGCCACGUAGACGAUCGUCGCGUCCUCGAACUCCACGGAUUCGCGCUCGACUCAAAGAGUUCCCUGUCCUACGACGUAACAUGAGGUUCCAGAUGACCGAGAUCGUCCUGGUCCUGGCCAAGGCGGCACUUGUACAUAGAAGAUCGCGUGACAACGAUUAAACGUCACCUCGAUCAUCCGGAACGCUCGCGAGUCGUCGGACGCCUGCACACGACCAAAAUGGAACUAGAUAUACAUGCAUAUGAUACACGCAUUACCUAUACGCAUAAAUAUAAAUAUGGAUUUAUAUAUAGAUUGAUAUAUAUAAAUAUUAUAUGUACACAUCCAACGUGUCUGUGGCCUGGUGCGGUGGGAAUCAGAACUUCGUGCGAGGCUGUUUGACUUCCUGGCUGUAUCGACUGCUUCCCAAUCGAUAUCGCGGGCCCCCGCAAGGUGUCGAGAAGUAAAUAUGGUCCAUGUUGAGCGUGGCUGUUUCGAAGGAGACGGGGCAACCGAGGGAACUCCAAAAGCCGCGAGUUUCCGUUUGUUCUACGGUGUAAACUGGCGAAAGUCGGUGUCUGCACCUAGCAAUUAUAGACCGUUCGGAGGAUUUUCGUAACGUUUAGAGUCUGUGUUACUCGAAACUGAUCGCGAUUGCAGCUAUCGAGGGCCCUCCGAUUGUCUUCUAUCUUGUAUAUGGAUUUUUUGUUCCGAUGAUUGUGGUUUGAGGGUUGAAAGUUUCCUCCAGAGUUUGAGCCUCUGUUGUUGACUCGAAAAUUUGUGAAUAUUCGAGGAAGUGUAUAUGAUUCUUGAGGGAAGAUAGUAGGGCGUACAAAAUGGUUGAAGAUUCAUUUUUAACUUCUGUAUUUUCAAUAUUUGGUUUAAGAGGAUUCAGUGCACUGUUUCUACCUUCAAUCUUAAUUUAUUUAUUAUUUAUGUUAAAUUAAAUUGAAUUAAAAUUUAUUCUUAGUCGAUUUUUAAUUCACAAUACGUAUGUACAUGUAAAUGAAAACGUGGAGUCCCUGUUAACACAGAGGCUUGUAAACACAAAGAUUCGAAAAACCGACAGCCUCAAACAAGUACUUUUAUUAAUGUUAUACCUUUAUGUUUAAUUAUACUUCAUUCUCGGAAAAUCUACGAAUCAGAGAAUUGAAUUCACGAAGAAUUUAUUUUAAAAACUUCCUUGUGUCUCUCACAGUUUUCGAGAUCAUUUUAAUGGAUAUCUACAACCACAGGAAAGGAGCAUGUUAGUUCUGAAUUAAAUUUCUUAUCGGGUAGAGAUUAAUUUACGAAUUAAAUUCCUUUAAUAAGAAUUACCUAAUCUUCUUAUGCCCAUCAGAGGAACGAGCAUGAUGUAAUUUUUCUGUUUAUGUCUCGACGACUGGUUGCCCUGUCUUCUCGAGUGAAUAGGAUUAUCCUUCCUUCGACGCCCUUCCUUCGUAUUUGUUUUUACAAUAACAGACUUACGCCUGGGAUAAAAGGCACGGGAAUUUCUUUUAUCCUCGCAAUACUCGUUUAUCUCUUCGCCGUGGUAGGAGGGUAGUCCUCUAUUUUCAUUUCCCAUUGAGUUAAGUCGUAAUUCGUCAUUUUGUUAGGUAACUUCUCUCGUAGACCCCAAUCCUACUUAUUAUACUCUUUCACUAAUACAAUUUAAUUUCAUAAAUUAUUAAUUAUUAUUUAGAAAGAACGCAGAUAAUCAGUCCAAGCAUUAUUAUUCAGAAUAUUAUUCGAAGUAAUAAUCCAUGUACUGGCGGAUCGCGUUUUUAAUUUGUUUCUUCAACUCGUAGGCAUCGAUCGUAUUUAUUUUUAAUUUUGCCAAUGUUUGCUACAAUUUUUUACAGUGAACUUCGCUAUGUCGAGGCUCGAGACGAAUAAAUAUUGCGAUCGUAAACUUUAUUUCUAGUUAUUUACAUCUGUGAUACUUUUUAUCGUGCGAAGUGGACUCGAAGUCGAUGCCUCGAUUCGUUUUCCGUGUCGCGAUAACUUCAAAGGACAAAAA